UACGUAGGGACCAAGCGUUGUUCGGAUUUACUGGGCGUAAAGGGCGCGUAGGCGGCAUAUUAAGUCAGCUGUGAAAUCUCCGAGCUUAACUCGGAACUGUCAGCUGAUACUGACGUGCUAGAGUGCAGAAAGGGCAAUCAGAAUUCUUGGUGUAGCGGUGAAAUGCGUAGAUAUCAAGAGGAAUACCUGAGGCGAAGGCGGGUUGCUAGGCUGACACUGACGCUGAGGCGCGAAAGCCAGGGGAGCAAACGGG
rnacentral:rRNA from 1 species